GACGAACGCUGGCGGCGUGCUUAACACAUGCAAGUCGAACGAAGUGGCGCACGGGUGAGUAACGCGUAAUCAACCUGCCCUUCAGAGGGGGACAACAGUUGGAAACGACUGCUAAUACCGCAUACUGAAGGAGGGGAUUGCGUCUGAUGAGCUAGUUGGAGGGGUCACGGCCCACCAAGGCGAUGAGCAGGAGACGGUCGUGGGGGAGGAACGGCCGCAUUGGGACCGAGACACGGGCCAGAUCCCUACGGGAGGCAGGAGUGGGGAAGCUUCCGCAAUGGACGAAAGUCUGACGGAGCAACGCCGCGUGAGUGAUGACGGCCUUCGGGUUGGAAAGAUCUGUUAAUCGGGACGCGGUACCGGAAGAGAAAGCCACGGCUAACUGCGGUCCAGCAGCCGCGGUAAUUC
rnacentral:rRNA from 1 species